AGGACGAACGCUGGCGGCGUGCUUAACACAUGCAAGUCGAACGGAAAGGCCCUUUCGGGGGUACUCGAGUGGCGAACGGGUGAGUAACACGUGGGUGAUCUGCCCUGCACUUUGGGAUAAGCCUGGGAAACUGGGUCUAAUACCGAAUACACCUUGCUGGCUGCAUGGCCUGGUGGGGGAAAGCUUUUGCGGUGUGGGAUGGGCCCGCGGCCUAUCAGCUUGUUGGUGGGGUGAUGGCCUACCAAGGCGACGACGGGUAGCCGGCCUGAGAGGGUGUCCGGCCACACUGGGACUGAGAUACGGCCCAGACUCCUACGGGAGGCAGCAGUGGGGAAUAUUGCACAAUGGGCGCAAGCCUGAUGCAGCGACGCCGCGUGAGGGAUGACGGCCUUCGGGUUGUAACCUCUUUCAGUAUCGACGAAGCGCAAGUGACGGUAGGUACGAGAAGAAGCACCGGCCAACUACGUGCCAGCAGCCGCGGU
rnacentral:rRNA from 1 species